ACAAUGGAGAGUUUGAUCCUGGCUCAGGAUGAACGCUGGCGGCGUGCCUAAUACAUGCAAGUCGAACGCACUGAUUUUAUCAGUGAGUGGCGAACGGGUGAGUAAUACAUAAGUAACCUGCCCUCAUGAGGGGGAUAACUAUUAGAAAUGAUAGCUAAGACCGCAUAGGUGAAGGGGUCGCAUGACCGCUUCAUUAAAUAUCCGUAUGGAUAGCAGGAGGAUGGACUUAUGGCGCAUUAGCUGGUUGGUGAGGUAACGGCUCACCAAGGCGACGAUGCGUAGCCGACCUGAGAGGGUGGACGGCCACACUGGGACUGAGACACGGCCCAGACUCCUACGGGAGGCAGCAGUAGGGAAUUUUCGGCAAUGGGGGAAACCCUGACCGAGCAACGCCGCGUGAGGGAAGAAGUAUUUCGGUAUGUAAACCUCUGUUAUAAAGGAAGAACGGUAUGAAUAGGAAAUGAUUCAUAAGUGACGGUACUUUAUGAGAAAGCCACGGCUAACUACGUGCCAGCAGCCGCGGUAAUACGUAGGUGGCGAGCGUUAUCCGGAAUCAUUGGGCGUAAAGAGGGAGCAGGCGGCAAUAGAGGUCUGCGGUGAAAGCCUGAAGCUAAACUUCAGUAAGCCGUGGAAACCAAAUAGCUAGAGUGCAGUAGAGGAUCGUGGAAUUCCAUGUGUAGCGGUGAAAUGCGUAGAUAUAUGGAGGAACACCAGUGGCGAAGGCGACGAUCUGGGCUGCAACUGACGCUCAGUCCCGAAAGCGUGGGGAGCAAAUAGGAUUAGAUACCCUAGUAGUCCACGCCGUAAACGAUGAGUACUAAGUGUUGGGGGUCG
rnacentral:ncRNA from 1 species